rnacentral:rRNA from 1 species
ACGAACGCUGGCGGCGUGCUUCACACAUGCCAGUCGCACGGAAAGGCCCUGCUUUUGUGGGGUGCUCGAGUGGCGAACGGGUGAGUAACACGUGAGUAACCUGCCCUUGACUUUGGGAUAACUUCAGGAAACUGGGGCUAAUACCGGAUAGGAGCUCCUGCUGCAUGGUGGGGGUUGGAAAGUUUCGGCGGUUGGGGAUGGACUCGCGGCUUAUCAGCUUGUUGGUGGGGUAGUGGCUUACCAAGGCUUUGACGGGUAGCCGGCCUGAGAGGGUGAUCGGCCACAUUGGGACUGAGAUACGGCCCAGACUCCUACGGGAGGCAGCAGUGGGGAAUAUUGCACAAUGGGCGGAAGCCUGAUGCAGCAACGCCGCGUGCGGGAUGACGGCCUUCGGGUUGUAAACCGCUUUCGCCUGUGACGAAGCGUGAGUGACGGUAAUGGGUAAAGAAGCACCGGCUAACUACGUG